CUCUAUUACCUGAACCUGCUCCUACGACCUCAUACCAAACUACAGCUGCAGAGGAAGAAAAGGUUAAUAAGCCUCAAAAAGUUAGAGCUGGUAGCGAGCCUUUUGAAAUUGUACACAUAUAAAUGGAGACUGCAUGGAAAGGCAACAAAUGACUAAAUCAUUCAAUAGAAAUUUAAGGCUCCAUCAUUUAGAUAUUAAUUCUGCUAAAAUUAUUUAUAUACAUAUAUUAAAUCACAGAUUGAACAAGCAGCAAUUAUAAUUUUGUAUGGACUGGAUCUGUAAAAUUAUAUUAUCACUUUACUUUUGUGUGCUAAAUUUUGUAAUUCUUUUUUUUUUCAAAAAGUGACGUGUUAUUUCAGAUGUCAAUCAGAA